rnacentral:rRNA from 1 species
AAAGCACUUUCGACGGGGACGAUGAUGACGGUACCCGUGAAGAAGCCCCGGCUAACUUCGUGCCAGCAGCCGCGGUAAUACGAAGGGGGCUAGCGUUCUCGGAAUAUUGGGCGUAAAGGGCGUGUAGGCGGUUUGUACAGUCAGAUGUGAAAUCCCCGGGCUUAACCUGGGAGCUGCAUUUGAUACGUGCAGACUAGAGUGUGAGAGAGGGUUGUGGAAUUCCCAGUGUAGAGGUGAAAUUCGUAGAUAUUGGGAAGAACACCGGUGGCGAAGGCGGCAACCUGGCUCAUUACUGACGCUGAGGCGCGAAACGCGUGGGGAGCAAACAGGAUUAGAUACCCUGGUAGUCCACGCUGUAAACGAUGUGUGCUAGAUGUUGGGUGACUUAGUCAUUCAGUGUCGCAGUUAACGCGUUAAGCACACCGCCUGGGAGAACGCCCAGGUUGG